CCUCCUCUUCUUCUUCCUUUUUCUUUCCCUUCUUUGCCUCCUCUUUUUCUUCUUGUCUCUCAUUCUUCUCAUCAUCCUUUGACCCUCCUCCUCCUCCUUCAAUCUUUUUCUUGGAUUUGGCAUCAUCAUCAUCCUCACUGUCAGAUGUGGAUGCAUAUGAUUCAGAUCCAAAGUCAGAUGAGUAAAAACCAUAAAAUACCACUCCAUGAUUCUUUCUUUCC
rnacentral:lncRNA from 1 species